rfam:Stegodyphus mimosarum contig32628, whole genome shotgun sequence.
GCCUUCGUGGUGUAGUGGUCAAUGCGCUCGACACGUAUUCGAGAGGUUCGUGGUUCGAAUCCCGGCGAGAGCA